GGUGUCUGAGCAUGGAUGAGGCUGAGCAAGCUCUACAAGAGGCACUGGAGCCACUCCACAGCCCCACUUGGUGCACAGCCCUGUAGAAUCCCUGUGUUGUACUGGGUUCCCCUCACAGACACCCUUUGCAUCUGCUGCUCCCCUCCUGUGGCUCCACACCCGGGUGGGCUCUGGCAUUUGAGCUUCCCAAGAAGGAAUUUAGAUCUGCAUCCUGCAGCCCAGGACCCCUCCUGGGACAGCUCCUUUCCAGGAGCGUUGCGUUUCUCCGGAAUUACGACGGCUCCUUAGGCUGGAUUGUGAGACAUUGCUCCAUGGCAGAAAACACAUGGAAAUGGAAGAAGUGGAGUGUAAAGCACUGAGCAAAGGAGCUCCGUGGGGAAUGAGCACAUAUAUAAUCUUUAUGGCCUCAAAAUAACAUCGGGUAUCAGCAAGUCUGGUGGGAGGCUGAUUGCAGCUCUCCAGUCCACAUGGUGCCACAGAGAUUUCUGACUUCUGUCCCCUCUUUCUGAAGCUGCUCCAGCACCAGGAGGAAAGGCCAGCAGCUCCCAGGGGGCUCGGCAGGGCUCGGACACGGGGACUCCGAGUGCAUCCGUCGGGCUUGGCUUCACUCCCAGCUCAGCAACUGCACAAGAACCUCUGCAAAACCAGAGCCCUGGGGAUUCAAAUCCUCAUCUCCACCCCAGUGCAGAGACACAGCUGUGCCACCCAGCCCGGGACCAGGGCAGAGGAAAGCUGCUCCUCACCCUCCCCAGCCAGCAGCAGGUAUCAGCCAGCUCUCUCCUGUGGGCUCUGAACAACCCUCUUCUGCUUGGAUUUAAGUGUUUUUAAUUAUUUUAAUUAAACACAGAGAUGUUCCAAGGUGGAGACCAGACAGAUGCUGCUGCUGCUGUUGGGAAGCAGAACCCUGUUUGUUGUGACCACUCUCCUGCACUGUCACUGUCCCCAAAGCAACAGGACACAACACCAGGAAGGAGCCAACAGCACAAGUGUCAUUUUUCUGUGCCCUAAUGCUCCUGGGCAGCCAUCAGGCUUCACUAUUGCCAGUCCAAGGUGUUAUUAGUCCUUUCUGUCCCAGGACUCCCAGGUGUGCUAGACCUGAGCCCUUGUUGCAGCCUGGCUUGUAUCUCCAUCAUUAAGACCACAUGAAGGAGCAAAUGCUGGUUAGUCCCCUCUGUCACCAGAGACACUGUGCUGGUGGUGGCAUCACAGCAGCUUUAACCCCAGUGGGGAAAGUCCCUCAGUACUAGUUAAUAUGCAGCAUGGCUAUUCCCAAAUACCUUAACUCAUCCCUUGGGAAGGUCACAUCACCAGAGAGGCCAGUGACCAGAGCGCUCUGGCUUCUGGGGGAUGGGGACAGUCUCCUGUCCCUUAAUGCCAGCUGCUGCCUGGUGGGACUGUCCCCAGUCACUGUGUGGUGACAGUUGUGCCCCACAUGGACAGCCACCAGUGGUCUGCACCCCUGCAGUGCUGGGGGCAGUGGCUCUGGGCAGGGAUGGGAACAGCCACACCAGUCUGAGGCCACAGCCUGGCUCGGGGCCCUGGGAACCCGGGAGCUUCCCCAGGCGUGGCUGUUGGAGCCUUGGGAAUGUCCUUUGAAGGAGGUUGCUGAGCUUUGGUGCUUGCCAGGAAUUGCAGGGUCGAAGAGCAGUUACACACCUGACACCCUUUACGAGGGGUUUGCACCCUCUCAAACAGGGUUUGUGUCCUUGUCCCCAGAGAAGGGCCUGUCCCAGAGCGGCAGAACUGCUGGGGAGGCUGUGAGAUGGGCUGUGCAGUGCUGCACCCCAGUGUGCAAAUCAGAUUAAUCCCAGUCUGCCUCAUGACAUCCUGAGAUCCCAAGGACGUGCUCCACGAGGGCUCUUCAUAGCUUUGUCUGCAGGGCAACACCAACCUGCUGCUUUUAGGGGCACCCCCCGUUUGUGAGCAGCUCAGUGGUGCCCACUUUGGAUCAUGCCCUUCUGCAGAGCCAGAGCCAAGCUGGGCAGUGGCAGACACGGCAACAGGACACAGUAGAGGGAGAAGCAGGGUGGAGAUGCUUGGUCUCUUCUGCUUAUUUGACACAUGGGAAGACUCAGUCCUGGUCAGCACAGGGUGAGAUGCCUGAAAACAGCUGCUGUUCGGCUCCAGGAGGAGAAAACACGGAGGGUCCACAGCUGGUUGGACAGGUUUGGGAUAAAAACACCCUGUCUGGCUGCUGAGUACCAGUGGAGACUGGAGCCUCAGGUGCCUCAUCCUGAAGGUCAGGACAGGGUGAGGCAGGGACUGUAGACUUCAGGAUCCUGAAGGGAAGGAAGAGGAUGAAAAGCAAGAGCACAGCUCUGGACUUCGGGAGAGCAGACUUUGGCCUCUUCAUUGGUCUGCUUGGAAGAGUGCCAUGGGAUAAAACCCUGGAGAGAAGACAGGCACAGGAGAGCUGGUGGAUGUUCAAGGAUCACCUCCUCCAGCCUCCAGAGUGCUCUGUCCUGACAAGCAGGAAAUCAGGCACAAAUGCCAGGAGGCCUGUGUGGGUGAACAAGGAGCUCCUGGCAAAACUCAAACACAAAAAGCAAACACACAGAAAGUGAAAACAAGGAUAGGUAGACCUGGAGGAAUACAGGGAUACUGUCCAAGCAUGGAAUGAGGUUAGGCAAGGUAAAGACAAUGACUCUGCUAUGGGAUGUGAAAAGUGGCUGAAAGGGCUUCUGUAGGUAUGUAGGUGACAGAAUGAAGGCUGGGGAAAAUACAGGCCCAUGGCUGAAGGAAAGAGGGGCCUGGUUAUACAGACAUGGUUACAGGGGCUGAAUUACUGAAUGCAUUCAUCACCUUCACCUUUACUGGCAUGACUGACCUUUAGGAGUGGCAGGUCCCAGAGAGCAAGGGGAAAAUCUGGAGCAAGGCCUUGGUGGAAGAAGAUCAGUCAGGUCAGGGAAUAAACAUAUGUAAGUCCACAAACCCUGAUGGGAUGCACCCAUGGGUGCUGAGAGAGCUGGAAAAUGCAUUUUCAAGGCCACUCUUCAUAAUCUUUGAUCCAUUAUGGCAACUGGGAGAAGUACCCAAAGUCUGAAGAAAAGCAAAUGUCACUCCUAUCUUUAAGAAGAGCAAGAAGAAAGAUCCAGGGAACUACAGGCUAGUCAGCCUCACUUCCAUCCCUGGAAUGGGAGCAGCUAAUCCUGGAAACCAUGUCCAGGCACAGGAAGAAUCAGAAAAUCAUCAGGAAGAGUCAGUCAGUGUGGCUUCCCCAUGUGGAAGGCCACACCUGGAGUUGUGUGUCCAGUGCUGGGCUUCCCAGCACAGAGAGAGACAUGGACAUACUGGAGAGAGGCCAGUGAAGAGCCACAGAGAGCAUGAAGGGACUGGAGCACCUCUCAUAAGGAAAGGCUGAGACCUGGGACUGUCCAGCCUGGAGAAGGGAAGGCUCAGGGGGACCUUAUCCAUGUGUAUAAAUACCUGAAGGGAGGGUGGAAAGAGGAAGGAUCCAGGCUCUUUCCAGUGGU